UACGUAGGUGGCAAGCGUUGUCCGGAUUUACUGGGCGUAAAGAGCGCGCAGGCGGUCGUUCAAGUCGCGUGUGAAAGCCCCCGGCUCAACUGGGGAGGGUCACGCGAUACUGAUCGACUGGAAGGCAGGAGAGGGUAGUGGAAUUCCCGGUGUAGUGGUGAAAUGCGUAGAUAUCGGGAGGAACACCAGUGGCGAAGGCGACUGCCUGGCCUGUUCUUGACGCUGAGGCGCGAAAGCUAGGGGAGCAAACGGG
rnacentral:rRNA from 1 species